AGUAUUAUUGGAUGGCAUCAUUUGAUAGUUAAAACUGAGGUGGUAUAGGAUGGGCAUGCGUCUGAUUAGUUAGUUGGCGGGGUAAUGGCCCACCAAGACGAUGAUCAGUAGGGGUUCUGAGAGGAAGAUCCCCCACACUGGCACUGAGAUACGGGCCAGACUCCUACGGGAGGCAGCAGUAGGGAAUAUUGGUCAAUGGAUGCAAGUCUGAACCAGCCAUGCCGCGUGCAGGAAGAAGGCCUUCUGGGUUGUAAACUGCUUUUGCCAGGGGAUAAAAUUUCCAUGCGUGGAAAACUGAAGGUACCUGGUGAAUAAGCCACGGCUAACUACGUG
rnacentral:rRNA from 1 species